UACGUAGGGUGCGAGCGUUAUCCGGAUUUAUUGGGCGUAAAGUGUAUCGUAGGCGAUCUGUUAAGUUUCUUGUCCAAGCCUAGGGCUCAACUCUAGACAGGCAGGGAAAACUAUCAGAAUAGAGUUUGUUCGGGGAAACUGGAACACUCGGUGGAGGGGUGAAAUCCGUAGAUAUCGAGUGGAACACCAAUAGCGAAGGUAGGUUUCUAGGGCAAUACUGACGCUCAUGAACGACAGCUAGGGGAGCAAAAGGG
rnacentral:misc_RNA from 1 species